GAUGAAGAACGCAGCGAAAUGCGAUAAGUAAUGUGAAUUGCAGAAUUCAGUGAAUCAUCGAAUCUUUGAACGCACAUUGCGCCCGCCAGUAUUCUGGCGGGCAUGCCUGUCUGAGCGUCAUUUCAACCCUCAUGCCCCUAGGGCGUGGUGUUGGGGAUCGGCCAAAGCCCGCGAGGGACGGCCGGCCCCUAAAUCUAGUGGCGGACCCGUCGUGGCCUCCUCUGCGAAGUAGUGAUAUUCCGCAUCGGAGAGCGACGAGCCCCUGCCGUUAACCCCCCAACUUUCCAAGGUUGACCUCAGAUCAGGUAGGAAUACCCGCUGAACUUAAGCAUAUCAAUAAGCGGAGGA
rnacentral:misc_RNA from 1 species